ACAAGGGGAACACAAAAUGUGUAUAUAUGUAUGUACUAAGCAUUAGCAUACGAAGAAAAGCAUAAGUUUUGCUAGCGUGUGGAGUCGUGCGCCAAGCUUUUGAGGUUAAAAAAUGGACUCCAAGCAAGAUACCAUAAUAAAUAAUUGGCACUUUCAAGAAAAAAAAAAAUACAACUGUUCUGCGUUAAAAUGCGCUAUAAACGCUCCUUUAUUGAAUCGUUAUUUUGUUUGAUACUUAAUUAAUAUCUUCGAGUUGUAUAGCAUAUGUUUAUAUUCACUUAAACAAUUAAUAGUUUUCCUGGUUAAUAUCAUUUAUAUUAUUACUUUUUUUUAAUAAUUAUUAGUCAAUAUGUUGGACUUUUAAAUAAAAAAUAAUAUGCUAUAAUUAC